rnacentral:siRNA from 1 species
AGAUCCGUUCGAAUGAUAAUCUGG